rnacentral:rRNA from 1 species
UGAGGAAUAUUCGGCAAUGGGGGGAACCCUGACCGAGCAACGCCGCGUGAGUGAUGACGGUCUUCGGAUUGUAAAGCUCUGUUGUAGGGGACGAAUGAGUGAUCGAGGAAAUGCGGUCGCUUUGACGGUACUCUACCAGAAAGCCACGGCUAACUACGUGCCAGCAGCCGCGGUAAUACGUAGGUGGCAAGCGUUAUCCGGAAUUAUUGGGCGUAAAGAGUGAGCAGGCGGUUGUCUAAGUCUGGAGUCAAAUGCUGUGGCUUAACCACAGUUCGCUUCAGAAACUAGUCGACUAGAGUGCGAGAGAAGUUUGUGGAAUUCCAUGUGUAGAGGUGAAAUUCGUAGAUAUCAGGAGGAACACCGGUGGCGAAGGCGACUUUCUGGCCCUAUACUGACGCUGAGACGCGAGAGCGUGGGUAGCAAACA